rfam:Ictidomys tridecemlineatus contig134802, whole genome shotgun sequence.
GGGGAUAUAGCUCAGUGGUAGAAUACUUGCCUGGCAUGUAUGAGACCCUAGGUUCAAUCCCUAGUACCACCA